AACCUAGCACACCUGCGGUGUGUACCUGCGGAAGGAUCAUUACAAAAAAGACCCAAGGGGUUUUUGGGUUUCGGCCCAAGAAUACCCAACCCACCUCUUGUGCACUGUUCACGUUCGCUUUGGCAGUUGCUUUGGCUUCUCUGGAAGUCAACUUCUCGCUGGCUCUAUCCUUUUUGGACAGCUGGUGGUGAAGCGGCCUGCCAAGGCUUUUUUUCGAAAUAACGCUUUUAGAAUCUACUG
rnacentral:misc_RNA from 1 species